CCUGUAUUCAGCCUUCAAGAAGCUUCAGCAAGUUUGUCUCAUUUCGUAGGGAAAAGCUAAGCGUGAGAACUUGUAGGCUUCUCUGGGAGCAGAGGAGAGAGGUGGGGAAGAGGACAGAGCUGUCUACCAUCACCCACCAGAGCUGCUCCACAGCCCCAGCUCCAGCCCCACAGUUUCCAGGAAGACACCCCGACUGAGCAGGAAGGACUUUGGGAGAGAGUUUCUUCUGAGUCCAGUUAAGUUUGAAAUGGAGACUAGAGGCCCGUGAGCCAACUCUUGGCCUUCACAGUGACUGAUUCUAGACAACUCUGCUAAGGAGCACUGAAGUGGCGAUGAGACAGCCCAACCGGAAGCGGAAGCUCAUCAUGGAGUCCAAAGAGCACAUGACUCAGGAAGGGUGCUUGGGGCAAACUGAAGAAGAAAAGAAGCCCAGAGGUGGUGCCACAGUUUUAAGUCAAGGUAAUUAUCACUGUCUGGUACAGAGUCAAUUCACAGUGAACAACUUUCACAUGAAAAUUUGGUUAGAUUGCUCUUGUUGUUUUAUGCUUCUUAGCUUAAAUAUAGAGCACUAUUGUCUCCAGUUUACUCAGGGUCUUACGUACUCUGGUGCAGACUUUAUCAAUGUCAUCUCAUUUUAGGCAUAUUAAGGAAUGCAGCUCUGCGGCUUUUAUUUUUGUAUGCAUUUGCCUUUUAAACAAGCUGCAAAGGAGGCCAUUUCUGGUUUCUAUCUCCGUUAGUGAUAGAAGGUGGUGCCGAGUUCAUUUCUAUCUCCUUGCUUCUAUUUUUCUCCAGAUUGUGUAAAUCAUCUGAUAUUUGUGCUUGUUCACUCCUGCUGAAGCCAUGUUGAAGAGAUGGUACAUUUAAUCCAGACUGAGUAUCCCUCAUGGUUAUUCACUCAUUUGUAGACUUUAGAUAUGGGCUUUUUUAAAAUUAACUUUUUUCUUUUGCUAUUCCUCUGAUUUUCAGAUGCCUUAAAUUUAAAUCAACAAAUAGAGUUGCUGUUUUGUGACUGUUUCCAUAAGACAAUUGCUAUCAAAAUUUCUAUAAAAUGCAGUUGAAUAUCCAACAGGAUUUUUUUUUACCAUUCUCUGGGAAGAAAGGUACAUAAAUUUGAUAAUAUGCCUCUGGAAAGCUCUAAAAAUACCACCGAUAUUUAGUUGA